ensembl:lncRNA
GGACAUUUAAGGCUGUUCCUAGUGGCAAUGGGGCUGGCUCAGCACAUCCGUUGUCAGUCACUUUCUCUUUUCUAAGUACUUUCUGUGCCAUUUAAGCAGACGAUGGUGACACUGGUGUUAAGCGUGCGACUUCUACAGCCUACACUGCCGGCAUAGGGAGGGACCCAGGAGGUUGCAAGGUGUUUUAAUGUCCUUCCUCUCUUGCCAGCACUACUUUUUGCUCUUGCGUUUUGUUUUGUUUUGUUUUGCAAAAGAGGCAACAGCGAUCUGCAGACUCUGCUUUCUGCCUUGUACCAGAGAGCCACAGUAUAUGUUCGAUCAUGUAACACACUGGUGUUUAGUUCAUUCUUGCUGCGAAAGAAGGCCAUUGUACUUCCUGACCCCAAAAGCAAGUUAGCACAACUGAACUGUGGGGCGUGUGGCCAAUGCUGAGGCUGAGGAGAGAGAGAUGGGCGUCAGGGGGAUGUGGCCAGGAGGAAAUAAGAGCAAAUUCCUCCAAAACGCUCUGACAGGAAAUGACAGAGUAUCAGUCUCCUACCACUCCACUCGGCCGCUUCUGGAGGGAAAAAGGCCUUCCUAAUCACGGAGCGGAGCCAGAGCGCAGUAGGGACGGUGGCUGCUACAUGCAGUUUCAGAUCAAUCUGCUAUCGUCACUGUGCCUGAGACCCAAAUAAUUUCUCUGUCAACUCUGGACACUUUGAAGGUAAUAUCAUGACCCCAGGGGACUGUGGUGAAAGAGAGGAAUGCUGGAUCUUCUCUUCUGGAACAGACAUUGCAGAGGAAGAGAUGGAUGAUGAACAGAGAGAAAACAAAAUUUUAAAAAUGAGAAAAAGAUUUCAAAGAAAAUGUGGGAGUCCAUGGAGAGAGCUGGACAGAACGGCAAAGACAUUGAGAACACGGGAUUAUCAGAGUGAGAGGAAGGUGUGGUGGCCGGAGCUGCAGCAGCCUAAGGAGCAGAGAGGACGCCAGGAUCAGAAGGAUGUCACCGGGAAGCCACAGGCUGUGUUGAGUGGUAGCCAGUGGUGACGGUGGUGGCAGGCCUUGAAUACAGAGUUUACUGUAGGGAAGGAAGACCACUAACAGUUUUGGGUAGGAGAAUGAUGUCAUAAAAAUGGCUUUUUAUGAGGAUUAGUCAAGUGGUGUGUGAGAAAAAGUAGCUCUUUGUUGGCAAAGACACAAGUGCUAUGCCCAUAGCAUAGCAAUUGUCUAAGCAUGAGGAAGUGCUAAUACUGCUCAAGAGAGUGUACAACCACAAGGAUUUAAUAAUUCUCUGGUGAAUUAGGAAAACUAUUUUUAAAUGUCCCAAAGUAUUCAAACAAUCAGCCACAGCUGCUUUCCUUUCUCAAAAAUAACUCAGAAUUAAACUUGGCUCUCAACACACAUGAAAAACAAAAUUAGUUAAUUAUGUAAAAUCCAGGGCAAUACCUUACAUUUAAUAGGUGCUUAAUAAAUUUUUCUUGUAAUGUUGGUGAAAAUAUUAUCCAAUUCAAGCAAGAAAAAAACAUAUUUCUCUAGAUAUCUAGCACUUAUAGAUGUCAAUAUCCUUGUUAAAUUACAAUUCAGAAAAUUGCUUUGAUUGUUCUACC